rnacentral:misc_RNA from 1 species
UGGAUUAAUAUCGGUCGGGUUAUAUUUGGAUAGAUUUGUGGAUUUAUUCCCAAAAAUCAACGGUUUGCCCAAUAAUAGCUUUAUCGAUUGUUUAUAUUUUGAUUUGAUUUGCUCGAAUGUAGUGUAUUUAACUAAAGUAGAUUGUAAGAGAUUCUUACGUGCUCUGCAGAUUGCUUACGCUUCAGGCAAGGCCCUAUAACGCCAUAGUUUCGUGUGAAAAGACUAUCAAAUUUAUCUUCUAGACUCACUUCUAAGCGUACGUUUACAAAAGCAUGAAGACCUAAUUUUAAAGCCGAUAAUUAAAUUAGAGAAGAGAGGAAAAUCGUAAAGAACAUUGAACGGCGAAAAAGCAAUACGGUGGUAGGGGAACACGUGCGUCACCACUAAUACUGCUACGGCUACUGCUGCAGUUGCGGGAGAAGGGCGACCCCUUUGCUUGUUGAAAUUGAGCAUAAACUUGUGGAAAUGUUUUUGGAUUGAUUUGAGAAGAGAGAAAAGAAAUUCAACUGAGGAAUUAGCUACUGAAAAGCAAUUAAGCUGAUACACGAAGGCGAAUGAAACUAUUAUUUGUGCUUAAAGCAAAAUGUAGUGCCUUUGGAUUGUAAAACUGCUGUGGAUAAGUUUUUUUUUUAACCUUGAAGUAACUUAACCUUACAACGGAAAUAAAUAGCUAACUUAAAAAUCAGUUUAUAAGAAUAACAAUGUCGUUUAUAAAUAAUUUGAAAAAGGUGUUCCACCUUGGCGGUGGUGAGGCGAAGAAAAAACGACUUUACAAUAAUAUCAAGAUGGACACAGACCCUGCGGAAUUUUGGGAAAUGGUGGGUGAGCUGGGUGAUGGCGCUUUUGGCAAAGUAUAUAAAGCGCAACAUAAGGAACAUAGACGCUUCGCAGCGGCUAAACUAUGCACAUUGGAAGAUGAAGAAAAUCUUAGUGAUCACAUGGUAGAAAUUGAUAUUUUAUCAGAGAUAAAACAUCCAAACAUUGUAGAAUUGUAUGAAGCGUUUUCAAUUGAGGAUAAAUUAUGGAUGUUAAUUGAGUAUUGCGAUGGCGGCGCGCUCGACAGUAUAAUGGUGGAAUUAGAAAAGCCGCUGACGGAACCACAAAUUGCCUACGUUUGCCGACACAUGACUGAAGGUCUGAGUUUUUUACAUAAAAAUAAAGUAAUACAUCGUGAUUUAAAAGCUGGAAAUGUACUACUAACAAUGGAGGGCGGUGUUAAAUUAGCUGAUUUUGGCGUGUCGGCCAAAAAUAAGCAUACUCUACAGAAACACGACACAUUUAUAGGCACACCGUAUUGGAUGGCGCCUGAACUUGUGCUCUGCGAAACAUUUCGGGAUAAUCCUUACGACUUAAAAGUGGAUAUCUGGUCACUUGGCAUAACUUUGAUAGAGUUAGCGCAAAUGGAACCACCAAAUAGUGAAAUGUCACCGAUGCGUGUUCUACUAAAAAUACAAAAAAGUGAACCACCAACAUUGGAUCAGCCAUCAAAGUGGAGUAAGGAAUUCAAUGAGUUCCUAAAGAGAGCUUUGGUCAAAGAUCCGCAGCAACGUCCAGGCACAGAUAUUUUAUUACAACAUAGAUUCAUUAAUUGUGAAUUAGACGCUAAACCUAUAAAAGACUUAUUAUUAGAAUAUAAAGCUGAAGUGGUUGAAGAAGUUGUCGACGAUGAUGCUGAGGAACCCCGCAACUCGGCGCUCCGGCUCGACCUGGACGAUGACUCUGCAUCUUUGCAGAGCCAAGAUAUUGACAAACUUCCAGGUACCCCAACAUCAGUAUCUAUGGACUCUAAAGAACCAAAUCAAACAAAUAGUAUACCACAAAGUAAACUAUCACAACAAAGAGGAGUCGCAAGCAAUGUCUCUCCUGUUUUGCAAAACAGUCUUGAAAACAAUAUAUCAUCUUCUAAAGGGGCAAAGGAGGAUGAACAAAAAAUUAGCGUUAAUAAAGCGCCAAAUGAAAACGACACGAGUAAACCGCGUUCACCUGAUGAAGCGCUUAGCAAGCAGCAAACAGUUGUUGCUCCAUCUGCUAUUGAAGCUGAUAAUCUUCCUGAGAAAAGCGUUGACGCUGAUAGGAAGAUCCCUAAAAAAGAAAAGGGUAAGGCACCGCCACCUCCGUCUGCUGCUAUAAUUGCGCCAAAAACGUCUGAAGCACCGCCUGCAAUUAUUGCAGCACACACUGAACCGGAGAAACGGGCCAACGACGAACAUAUUCGCACAGCUGCAGUGGUCAAAGCUGCCGAGCUGUGUGAGAAUGUGGAAAUCGAUGUGCAAGCGCCAGCACUGCAACAGUUCGUUAAUGAACCACAAGAGCAGGUGCAGCCACUGCCAUCUCCGCCUUCGCCAACUACAUCAUCAGCAGCGGUUUCGGUGAAUUCCACUUCUUCGUCGUCUGUAAAAAGCGGCGCCAUGCUAAGCUCGAGCACUUCACUAAUCACUAUAAAUAGCGAGACCUCGCCAUCCAGCACGCCAACUCGUUCACUUAACAAUCAGGCACAGCAUCAGAAUGUCGUUCAACCCAACAGUUUGGACGCUGGUAUCAGCCAAAUAAGAGUUGUAACCAGCACGCAUCCACCAGUCAUCAUUGACAAUUCUGUAGUGCCCGCUGUACCGCCUCAAAGCGAAGUGAUAAUUGUUUCAAAUGAUUUAAACAAAAGCACACAUGUGCCAGAAUCUUCGACUGAUGAUGAUUUCACUUCCUUUGACGACAGUCUUGGCGAUUCGCCGAUAUCGCCACGACAGUCAUCCAUGAUAGUGGCCGUGAGUGAGAAGGGCGCCGAAGAAACGGACAAGGGUGAAAUUGCUGCCGACGCCAAUCAGUCUAUAAUCGGUAAAGGAUCACGGGCACGUAAGCUUGACGAAAGCGAGGUGCUAAUCGUUAGCCCAUCUUUCGUAGAUGACGAUUCUGCCUAUAAUACAGCUACGGGCAGUCAUGAUCAUAGCGAACAUCUGAUGGAUACCAGUCAUGUGUCAGUUGUGACUGUAGGCGAUGAGAUAAAAGUUAAGGACAGUAGUCACCUGAGCAGCGAUCUAUACGAUACAACAUUAAGCAACGACAACAAUAUUCUGAAUAGCCAACGACCAUAUGUAAAGAAUCACCAAAAUGGCCAAAUAAUCACCGGCACACCAACAGAAGAUGUAAAUAUUAUUAUAAACCGCAACACACCACAAGACAUCAGUGUCGCUAAUAAACGGCCCUCACCAGAUAAUAGCGUUGGUUCAGUGGACUCACGAACACUGAGUGAAAGCGGUUCACUGCCCUCAACUGGCGGUGUUAUUCGACGAGCUGUGGGCUUGAAUAUCGCAACAGUUGAUCAGAGUGACGUUGAAAGUAUCGGCACCACAACUAGUCAUGAUAGUCGCAACGAGGCGGAUGCCCCCAUAAUGGGCACUAAGAUACCCGAAGAUGAAGAAGUUGUCAUACGUCGUAAGCAAGGACCAUUAUCACCGAAAAUAGUAGCACCACCCGGUCCGACUAAAGAAGAAAUCGAACUACGUAAUUUGCGUAAGAAAACGCGAAAGCGUACGCGAAAAUUCGAGAUCGAUGGUGUACAAGUGACGACAACCACAAGUCGUGUCAUCUACGGUGACGAAGAGACUGGACGGCUCUAUGAUGAUCAUGUGUUCCGCAAACAAGAACUAAGAGAAUUGAAAAUGUUGCAGAAACAGGAAAAGAAGCAGCAAAACGAUUUGCAAUUAAAGGAACAAAUCGCUAGAGAGCAACAGGAUCGACGCUUCGAACAGGAGCGAAUUUCGCUGGAGAAGACUUAUGAAGCCGAUAUGGAUACCUUGGCAAGACAACAGAAGCAACUAAUUGAGAAGACAGAACAAGCGCAGGAGCAUGAACUGCGAACUUCAUCGAAGCGCAUCCGAUCCGAGCAAGAGCAAGAAUUGAAAAUCUUCCGUGAAAAUUUGAAACAAGAAAUUCGUCUGUUGAAACAAGAAGUAGAUUUGCUGCCCAAAGAUAAACGCAAAGACGAAUUCAAACAACGACGUUCCGCCAUGGAACUGGAUCAUGAAGAGAAGGAGCGGGCUUUCCUAGAUUCGCUCAAAGAACGCCAUGAAUUGCUUCUGCGACGAUUAAGCGAAAAACAUCGCGAUCAUCUUGCCACAAUUAAUCGUAAUUUCCUGCAGCAAAAACAAAAUGCCAUGCGUACACGCGAAGCACUACUGUGGGAGCUGGAAGAGAAGCAAUUGCAUGAACGUCAUCAGCUAGCCAAACGGCAUGUAAAAGAAUUAUGUUUUAUGCAACGCCAUCAGAUGAUUGUGCGACACGAAAAGGAAUUGGAUCAGGUGAAGAAAAUGUUGCAACGCAAGGAGGAGGAUAUGAUUAAAAAGCAAGCUUUAGAGAAGCGAGCGUUGCCGAAGCGAAUUCGCGCAGAGCGCAAGGCACGCGAUUUAAUGUUCCGCGAAUCUUUGCGUAUAUCAACAAAUUUGGAUCCGGAAGUCGAAAGGGAACGACUUAAGAAGUUUCAAGAGCAAGAAAAGAAACGUUAUACGCAAGAGGAGCGACGAUUCGAAAUCAAACAUCAAAAACAGUUGGAGGAAUUGCGCGCAACGCGUGAGGGGGCGAUAAGAGAAUUAGAACAGUUGCAGAAUGAGAAACGAAAAGCUCUGGUCGAACACGAACAUGCCAAAUUGACAGAUAUCGACGAGCGUUUAAAGGCAGAGUUGCGUGAAUGGAAGGAGCAAUUAGUACCUAGAAAGCAGACAACCGCUACUACAGUCUUUUGCAAACUUAGUCAUGGAGCGAUACUCAGUUGAACAACGCUUAAAAGUGAUCCAAACAUUAAUGCCGAUUUAACAAAAAGCUUCAUGUGGGAUGGGGCGCACUUAACUGCACCCACUGCAAAAGGAAAAAAACUAUGCACCCACAACGAGUCGCGUUUGGCGUGGUUUUUCUCAUGGCGGAGCCUUCGGACCUGACUUCGGUGCCACUUGCUACACACUGGAGGCAAAGCUGGAGAAAUUAAGAAUUUGACGACGUGUUAUCGGCGCAUGCAUGGAUUGCUCAAGCACAUCAGCUAAACAACUUUGGAUCUACUUAUAUAUUGAAUUAUAAUUUAUGGGUAUUAAACAAGCUGGACAACUUGACAACAUUUUAUUCACUGGUGCGUUUUUAAUUUGGCUAUGAUCGACAUUUUACGCAUUGUUGUGGCAACAGUUCCUUUUAGAUGAAUUCCACACGUUUGAACACCUACAAAAACGCUGAAAAGGUCUUACGUGUUCUGUAACUAGAAUAAGAUAUAUAUACAAUAAAAUAAGGAAAAUUUUCGCUUAACAAGUUUUUCCUGAACAUACUCAUAUUUGUGCAAACAUAUGCUCGCCACCGCACAAGAGCCCAAUCAAUCACAAGCAAGGCAUUAAAACAUUUAUUAAACGAGUUAAAAUGCUUAAAUUACGGUAAUAAUUUCCUUUUCUUAAAGUGUAAAUAUGAAAAAUUGCUGGCAUUCAUUUGCAUAUGGAGCGCAUUGCUCAGACACUUGUCUCCAAGCGAUCACUCAUAAUAAUACCAAAUAGUACACAAAACAAUGUCGGCGGCACGGCAUUCCUACAAUGGGAGGAGUUUGUUGCUAUUGACCAACCAAUAGCACCGUAAAAGUCUGAGCCGAAGUUAUGAUUACUUACUUUUACAUACAUACAUAUGUACAACAAACAAACAUACGUACAUGUUCUACUAUAAAUAAACAAUUCAAAUCAAAAACGGGCGCGCGCGCACGCCAUAGACACUCACUCGCUCAACUAACUGCCGACGUACUCAUACGCGUGUGUGGGUAUGAGUACGUAUUCGUGUAUUGUAAAAGAUAAGGCCUUCAUUGGCAGUAAUAGUUAAUUAAAGUCUGGUUUGAACAUUUUGAAUAUUCGUGAAUGCCUAAAGAGAAACCAAUACCAAAAAAGCAAAGUACAAAAAAUGCACGAAAACAAAAACAAUGCUAUGAAUGAAGUUCGACUUAUCGGCUAGUCAGAGAGCCAGGCAAACAGCUUGAUCAGCGAAUGAAAACUCAGCUGGCCGACUUGAAAGAGUGCAAAAAGUCUACACAUUUGGGCUCUCCAAUCCAAGAGCAAGCAAGCACUCUGAAGCAAUCGUGUAGCAUAGCUGGCUUUCUUGGCGGCGCUCCGGCUGGUUCGUUAGUGCUCCAAACUAGAAUAGUACAUGCGCUGGAGCAGCUCUCCAUUUUGGCGUAACGCAGCAAAGAAAAAUAAAAAAACGGUCGUGCUAUGUGGCGCGAUCGAAAGCGAGUUUAUUCGGUAGCGCGCCUCCAUCUAGAGAACAUCAAGGUGGUCGCAAUAACGACAUAAACGCUUAGAUCAAUUCAUAUUUGUCUGUUACAAGCGAUAGUUCCGCAAUUUACGUAUUUUUUGCCAACGAGUGAGCGUACAAAAUAGGAAACACUCCUUAUCAGUUGUUUGGCGGCGUUUGGUUUUGCAGUUAUAGUAGCAGCAGCAGUUAGCAGUGGCGGCAGCACAGCUUGUGGAAUCAUUAUCAACAUUUUUGGAGGAUAUUAAAAAAAUAAAUAAAAAUAAAUGCAUUUGCACACAAAAUUUCCACUGAACCGGCAUAAUAAAUUGUGGCAUUUUUUUGUUAUAAUUGCAUAAAUUUUCUACGUAUGGCACACGAGCACUUUGCAACACUGAAAAUGCAUUAGACACCACUGACUCUAGUACACCCUGUACUUCCGCUGCAUUGUCAAAAACGAACAGCUGUUUUGGCACCUAAAAGGAAUCGAAGAAAAUAAUAGUCCGGAUUGCCAAAUUUUACACGGUCGUUUGGAAUUUGUGUUAAUUUAAAUAAAAGUUUUUGAAAUUAAAAAUAGGAAU